rnacentral:rRNA from 1 species
UCGCUUGUUUUACAAAAACAUGUCUUUUUGAUUAUAAUCUAAAGUCUAACCUGCCCACUGAUAAAAAUUAAAGGGCCGCGGUAUAUUGACUGUGCAAAGGUAGCAUAAUCAUUUGUCUCUUAAUUGGAGGCUAGAAUGAAUGGUUGAAUGAAAUAUUAACUGUCUCAUUUUUAAAAAAAUAAAAAUUUAGCUUUUAAGUUAAAAGGCUUAAAUAUAUUUAAAAGACGAGAAGACCCUAUAGAUCUUUAUAAUUAUUUUAUUAAUAUAAAAUAGAAAAAUAUUAUAUAAAAUUAAAUUAAUUAUUUUAUUGGGGUGAUAGGAAAAUUAAAUAAACUUUUUUUAUUUAUAAACAUUGAUUUAUGAUAAAUUGAUCCAUUUUUAUUGAUUAUAAGAUUAAGUUACCUUAGGGAUAACAGCGUAAUUUUUUUAAAGAGUUCAUAUCGAUAAAAAAGAUUGCGACCUCGAUGUUGAAUUAAAGGUUAUUUCUAGAUGCAGAAGUUUAGAGUUUAGGUCUGUUCGACCUUUAAAUCUUUACAUGAUCUGAGU